GUGGGGAAUUUUGGACAAUGGGCGCAAGCCUGAUCCAGCCAUUCCGCGUGCAGGAUGAAGGCCUUCGGGUUGUAAACUGCUUUUGUACGGAACGAAAAGCCUCUGGUUAAUACCCGGGGGUCAUGACGGUACCGUAAGAAUAAGCACCGGCUAACUACGUGCCAGCAGCCGCGGUAAUACGUAGGGUGCGAGCGUUAAUCGGAAUUACUGGGAGUAAAGCGUGCGCAGGCGGUGAUGUAAGACAGUUGUGAAAAGCCCGGGCUCUACCUGGGAACUGCAUCUGUGACUGCAUUGCUGGAGUGCGGCAGAGUGGAAUGGAAUUCCGCGUGUAGCAGUGAAAUGCGUAGAUAUGCGGAGGAACACCGAUGGCGAAGGCAAUCCCCUGGGCCUGCAAUGACGCUCAUGCACGAAAGCGUGGGGAGCAAACAGGAUUAGAACCCCCAGUAGUCC
rnacentral:rRNA from 1 species